rnacentral:ncRNA from 2 species
GCACUGACAAAAAGUUAAACCGCCCAAAACUUUAACGGCAGUUGCAAUAAAAAAAUACUCAAGCUACUGACAGUGC